AGAACGAACGCUGGCGGCAGGCUUAACACAUGCAAGUCGAACGCCCCGCAAGGGGGGUGGCAGACGGGUGAGUAACGCGUGGGAAUCUACCUAGCUCUUCGGAAUAGCUCCGGGAAACUGGAAUUAAUACCGAGUACGCCCUACGGGGGAAAGAUUUAUCGGAGUUAGAUGAGCCCGCGUUGGAUUAGCUAGUUGGUGGGUAAUGGCCUACCAAGGCGACGAUCCAUAGCUGGUCUGAGGAGGAUGAUCAGCCACACUGGGACUGAGACACGGCCCAGACUCCGUACGGGGAGGCAGCGAGGUGGGGAAUAUUGGACAAAGUGGGCGCAAGCCCUGAUCCCAAGCCAUGGCCGCGUGAGGUGAAGUGGAAAGGGCCCGUUAAGGGGGUUGUAAAA
rnacentral:rRNA from 1 species